rnacentral:rRNA from 1 species
CGGGAUACCCGAGGGAAACUUCGGUUAAUACGGUAUAAGACCACACUACCGCAUGGUAGAGGGGUAAAAGGGGCAACCUGGUAUGAGAUGGACUCGCGUCGCAUUAGCUAGUUGGUGAGGUAACGGCCCACCAAGGCGACGAUGCGUAGCCGACCUGAGAGGGUGAUCGGCCACAUUGGGACUGAGAUACGGCCCAGACUCCUACGGGAGGCAGCAGUGGGGAAUAUUGGGCAAUGGAGGAAACUCUGACCCAGCAAUGCCGCGUGAAUGAAGAAGGUCUUCGGGUUGUAAAGUUCUUUAGUCAGGGAAGAAGUCAAUGACGGUACCUGAAGAAUAAGCUCCGGCUAACUACGUGCCAGCAGCCGCGGUAAUACGUAGGGAGCAAGCGUUGUUCGGAAUGACUGGGCGUAAAGGGUGCGUAGGCGGUUGUACAAGUUAGAAGUGAAAUACCCAGGGCUUAACUCGGGUGCUGCUUCUAAAACUGUAUGACUUGAGUGCAGUAGAGGUUAGUGGAAUUCCUAGUGUAGCGGUGGAAUGCGUAGAUAUUAGGAGGAACACCAGAGGCGAAGGCGGCUAACUGGACUGCAACUGACGCUGAGGCACGAAAGUGUGGGGAGCAAACAGGAUUAGAUACCCUGGUAGUCCACACUGUAAACGAUGGAUACUAGAUGUAGGAGGUAUCGACUCCUUCUGCGUCGCAG